rnacentral:rRNA from 1 species
AGUGAACGCUGGCGGUAGGCCUAACACAUGCAAGUCGAACGGCAGCACAGGAGAGCUUGCUCUCUGGGUGGCGAGUGGCGGACGGGUGAGGAAUACAUCGGAAUCUACUUUGUCGUGGGGGAUAACGUAGGGAAACUUACGCUAAUACCGCAUACGACCUACGGGUGAAAGCAGGGGAUCUUCGGACCUUGCGCGAUUGAAUGAGCCGAUGUCGGAUUAGCUAGUUGGCGGGGUAAAGGCCCACCAAGGCGACGAUCCGUAGCUGGUCUGAGAGGAUGAUCAGCCACACUGGAACUGAGACACGGUCCAGACUCCUACGGGAGGCAGCAGUGGGGAAUAUUGGACAAUGGGCGCAAGCCUGAUCCAGCCAUACCGCGUGGGUGAAGAAGGCCUUCGGGUUGUAAAGCCCUUUUGUUGGGAAAGAAAUCCAGCCGGCUAAUACCUGGUUGGGAUGACGGUACCCAAAGAAUAAGCACCGGCUAACUUCGUGCCAGCAGCCGCGGUAGUACGAAGGGUGCAAGCGUUGCUCGGAAUUACUGGGCGUAAAGCGUGCGUAGGUGGUUAUUUAAGUCCGUUGUGAAAGCCCUGGGCUCAACCUGGGAACUGCAGUGGAUACUGGAUGACUAGAAUGUGGUGGAGGGUAGCGGAAUUCCUGGUGUAGCAGUGAAAUGCGUAGAGAUCAGGAGGAACAUCCAUGGCGAAGGCAGCUACCUGGACCAACAUUGACACUGAGGCACGAAAGCGUGGGGAGCAAACAGG